GUUUAUUUAGUUUAAUAAAAACAUUACAUUUUCACUGUAAAAAUACUAUUAAAAUAGUUAUAAAUU
rnacentral:tRNA from 1 species